CAGCACCUCAAGUGGUCAGGAUGAUUAUUGGGCCUAAAGCAUCCGUAGCCGGCGCUGUAAGUUUUCGGUUAAAUCUGUACGCUCAACGUACAGGCUGCCGGGAAUGCUGCAGCGCUAGGGAGUGGGAGAGGUAGACGGUACUCGGUAGGAAGGGGUAAAAUCCUUUGAUCUAUUGAUGACCACCUGUGGCGAAGGCGGUCUACCAGAACACGUCCGACGGUGAGGGAUGAAAGCUGGGGGAGCAAACCGGAUUAGAUACCCGAGUAGUCC
rnacentral:rRNA from 1 species